AGUUCCACAUCCAGCAUGAUUCUCAAGGAUUGCUCAGUCAUCUAAAGUCAUCAACAUGCUUUUAAAUCAUAAUACAUCAUAAUAACCUAACAUGCUUGGAAGCAGGAAUAUCAUUUUGUUACGCUGAAGUGUCACGUACAGCCAUGAGAAAAAGAAAGUACACACCUGUUUUAAUUUCUAAGGUCCUAAAGGUCUUCAAAUCCAACCUGAAGUAAAA